rnacentral:rRNA from 1 species
GAUGAACGCUGGCGGCGUGCCUAAUACAUGCAAGUCGAGCGAAUGGAUUAAGAGCUUGCUCUUAUGAAGUUAGCGGCGGACGGGUGAGUAACACGUGGGUAACCUGCCCAUAAGACUGGGAUAACUCCGGGAAACCGGGGCUAAUACCGGAUAACAUUUUGAACCGUAUGGUUCGAAAUUGAAAGGCGGCUUCGGCUGUCACUUAUGGAUGGACCCGCGUCGCAUUAGCUAGUUGGUGAGGUAACGGCUCACCAAGGCAACGAUGCGUAGCCGACCUGAGAGGGUGAUCGGCCACACCGGGACUGAGACACGGCCCAGACUCCUACGGGAGGCAGCAGUAGGGAAGCUUCCGCAAUGGACGAAAGUCUGACGGAGCAACGCCGCGUGAGUGAUGAAGGCUUUCGGGUCGUAAAACUCCGUUGUUAGGGAAGAACAAGUGCUAGUUGAAUAAGCUGGCACCUUGACGGUACCUAACCAGAAAGCCACGGCUAACUACGUGCCAGCCGCCGCGGUAA